GCACUGUUGGUCCAGCGGUAGGAUCCUUGCCUUCCAUAUUCGGUAUAGAGUGAGCAAGGGGCUCGGGUUCGACUCCCGGACAGUGCA